rnacentral:rRNA from 1 species
CCAAUAGCGUAUAUUAAAGUUGUUGCAGUUAAAAAGCUCGUAGUUGAAUUUCGGGGUCUGUCCAUUGGUCGGGCUUUACGGUCCGUACUGGUGAGCUGGGUUCCUACCUUCUGAAUAACCAGCAUGCCAUUCAGUUGGUGCGUUGGGGAAGCAGAGCUAUUACCUUGAAAAAAUUAGAGUGCUUAAAGCAGGCUAGUGCUUGAAUAGAUUAGCAUGGAAUAAUAAAAUAGGACGGCAUGGUUCUAUUUUGUUGGUUUCUAGGAUCACCGUAAUGAUUAAUAGGGAUAGUUGGGGGCAUUAGUAUUCAAUUGUCAGAGGUGAAAUUCUUGGAUUUAUUGAAGACUAACUUCUGCGAAAGCAUUUGCCAAGGAUGUUUUCAUUAAUCAAGAACGAAAGUUAGGGGAUCGAAGACGAUCAGAUACCGUCGUAGUCUUAACCAUAAACUAUGCCGACUAGGGAUCGGACGAUGUUAAUUUUUUAAUGACUCGUUCGGCGCCUUACG